ACCAAAUAGAUACCCAGGUAGUCCACGCCCUAAACGAUGCGAACUGGAUGUUGGGUACAUUACGGUACUCAGUGUCGAAAGCUAAACGCGUUAAGUUCGCCGCCUGGGGAGUACGGUCGCAAGACUGAAACUCAAAGGAAUUGACGGGGGCCCGCACAAGCGGUGGAGUAUGUGGUUUAAUUCGAUGCAACGCGAAGAACCUUACCUGGCCUUGACAUCUGUCGAAUCCUGCAGAGAUGCGGGAGUGCCGCAAGGAACGACAAGACAGGUGCUGCAUGGCUGUCGUCAGCUCGUGUCGUGAGAUGUUGGG
rnacentral:rRNA from 1 species